rnacentral:rRNA from 1 species
AUGUUUACAGGAAGGUGCUCGACAGAUGAUAUGUUCAGAGAUGGGUUAACCCUUCAAUACUUUGCAGAGGCAGCAGGUCUUUCAGGGAAUGUCAUGGAGAUAGCAGACUCCAACAUCUGGCAGCAUGAUGAAGCAAACAAUAGUGCUGAUGCAGAACAUAUAACCAGAGCCAGGGAAUGUCUGGCUGCCAUAAUCCAGCUUGGCAUCCUAUGCUCAAAGCAAUUGCCGAGAAAAAGGAUGUCAACAAGUGAUGCUGCUGCAGAGAUGCAUGCCAUCAGAGAUGCCUACCUCAGUAGUCAGUGA